GGCCAGACUCCUACGGGAGGCAGCAGUGGGGGAUAUUGCACAAUGGGGGAAACCCUGAUGCAGCGACGCCGCGUGUGGGAAGACGGUCCUCUGGAUUGUAAACCACUGUCCCCAGGGACGAAGAUGACGGUACCUGGGGAGGAAGCUCCGGCUAACUACGUGCCAGCAGCCGCGGUAAUACGUAGGGGGCAAGCGUUAUCCGGAUUUACUGGGUGUAAAGGGAGCGUAGACGGCAUGGCAAGUCAGAUGUGAAAGCCCGGGGCUCAACCCCGGGACUGCAUUUGAAACUGUCAGGCUGGAGUGCAGGAGAGGUAAGUGGAAUUCCUAGUGUAGCGGUGAAAUGCGUAGAUAUUAGGAGGAACACCAGUGGCGAAGGCGUCUUACUGGACCGAAACUGACGUUGAGGCUCGAAAGCGUGGGGAGCAAACAGGAUUAGAUACCCUCGUA
rnacentral:rRNA from 1 species